rnacentral:rRNA from 1 species
UCCUACGGGAGGCAGCAGUGGGGAAUUUUCCGCAAUGGGCGCAAGCCUGACGGAGCAAUACCGCGUGAGGGAAGACGGCCUAUGGGUUGUAAACCUCUUUUUUCAGGGAGGAAUCUAUGACGUGUACCUGAAGAAUAAGCAUCGGCUAACUCCGUGCCAGCAGCCGCGGUAAGACGGAGGAUGCAAGUGUUAUCCGGAAUCACUGGGCGUAAAGCGUCUGUAGGUGGUUUAAUAAGUCGACUGUUAAAUCUUGAGGCUUAACUUCAAAACUGCAGUCGAAACUAUUAAACUAGAGUAUAGUAGAGGUAAAGGGAAUUUCUAGUGGAGCGGUGAAAUGCGUAGAGAUUGGAAAGAACACCGAUGGCGAAGGCACUUUACUGGGCUAUUACUGACACUCAGAGACGAAAGCUAGGGUAGCAAAUGGGAUUAGAUACCCCAGUAGUCCUAGCUGUAAACAAUGGAUACUAGAUGUUGAACAGAUCGACCUGUGCAGUAUCAAAGCUAACGCGUUAAGUAUCCCGCCUGGGAAGUAUGCUCGCAAGAGUGAAACUCA